CCUACGGGAGGCUGCAGUGAGGAAUAUUGGUCAAUGGACGAGAGUCUGAACCAGCCACGUAGCGUGAAGGAUGACUGCCCUAUGGGUUGUAAACUUCUUUUAUAUGGGAAUAAAAUGUUCCACGUGUGGGAUUUUGUAUGUACCAUAUGAAUAAGGAUCGGCUAACUCCGUGCCAGCAGCCGCGGUAAUACGGAGGAUCCGAGCGUUAUCCGGAUUUAUUGGGUUUAAAGGGAGCGUAGGUGGAUUGUUAAGUCAGUUGUGAAAGUUUGCGGCUCAACCGUAAAAUUGCAGUUGAAACUGGCAGUCUUGAGUACAGUAGAGGUGGGCGGAAUUCGUGGUGUAGUGGUGAAAUGCUUAGAUAUCACGAAGAACUCCGAUGGCGAAGGCAGCUCACUGGACUGCAACUGACACUGAGGCUCGAAAGUGUGGGGAUCAAACAGGAUUAGAUACCCCGGUAGUC
rnacentral:rRNA from 1 species